GCUUGUCUCAAAGAUUAAGCCAUGCAUGUCUAAGUAUAACUCUUUUACUUUGAAAACUGCGAACGGCUCAUUAUAUCAGUUAUAGUUUCUUUGAUAGUCCCUUACUACUUGGAUACCCGUAGUAAUUCUAGAGCUAAUACAUGCGAAAAGACGGGCCGCAAGGCUUGUUGUAUUUAUUAGAUAAAAAAUCAAUACCUGUUCUGCAGGUCCUAUUGGUGAGUCAUAAUAACUGUUCGAAUCGCAUGCUUCGGCAGGCGAUAGUUCAUUCAAAUUUCUGCCCUAUCAGCUUUCGAUGGUAGGGUAUUGGCCUACCAUGGCAUUAACGGGUAACGAAUUGUUAGGGCAAGAUUUCGGAGAGGGAGCCUGCGAGACGGCUACCACAUCCAAGGAAGGC
rnacentral:rRNA from 1 species